CCUACGGGUGGCUGCAGUCGAGAAUCAUUCACAAUGGGGGAAACCCUGAUGGUGCGACGCCGCGUGGGGGAAUGAAGGUCUUCGGAUUGUAAACCCCUGUCAUGUGGGAGCAAAUUAAAAAGAUAGUACCACAAGAGGAAGAGCCGGCUAACUCGGUGCCAGCAGCCGCGGCAAUACAGAGGUCUCAAGCGUUGUUCGGAAUCACUGGGCGUAAAGCGUGCGUAGGAUGUUUCGUAGGUCGUGUGUGAAAGGCGCGGGCUCAACCCGCGGACGGCAAUUGAUACUGCGGGACUAGAGUGAUGAAGGGGGAACAGGAAUGCGCGGUGUAGCAGUGAAAUGCAUAGAUAUC
rnacentral:rRNA from 1 species